ACGGAAGGCAGCAGUGGGGAAUAUUGCACAAUGGGGGAAACCCUGAUGCAGCAACGCCGCGUGAGUGAUGACGGUCUUCGGAUUGUAAAGCUCUGUCUUCAGGGACGAUAAUGACGGUACCUGUGGAGGAAGCCACGGCUAACUACGUGCCAGCAGCCGCGGUAAUACGUAGGUGGCAAGCGUUGUCCGGAUUUACUGGGCGUAAAGGGAGCGUAGGCGGACUUUUAAGUGGGAUGUGAAAUACCCGGGCUUAACCUGGGUGCUGCAUUCCAAACUGGAAGUCUAGAGUACAGGAGGGGAAAGCGGAAUUCCUAGUGUAGCGGUGAAAUGCGUAGAGAUUAGGAAGAACACCGGUGGCGAAGGCGGCUUUCUGGACUGUAACUGACGCUGAGGCUCGAAAGCGUGGGGAGCGAACAGGAUUAGAUACCCUGGUA
rnacentral:rRNA from 1 species